GAUUUCUGGUUUGGCGCAUUUGGCCCGCCUCGGUUUACGGGGUUGUGUGCCGGUUUGCGCCUUCCAUCCUUCAUAUGAACGAUUCUACCCUUCACUGGGUUGGAGUCGCUGAUUAUGAUCUUUUACUUUGAAAAAAUUAGAGUGUUUAAAGCAGGCUUGCGCUAUGAAUACAUUAGCAUGGAAUAAUAAUUUAGGACUUUGGUCUUAUUUUGUUGGUUUCUAGGACUAAAGUAAUGAUUGAUAGGGACAGUUGGGGGUGCUAGUAUUCAGCGGCCAGAGGUGAAAUUCUUGGAUUCGCUGAAGACUAACUUAUGCGAAAGCAUU
rnacentral:rRNA from 1 species